rnacentral:rRNA from 1 species
UACGGGGGGGGCAAGCGUUGUUCGGAAUUACUGGGCGUAAAGAGCUCGUAGGCGGUCUGUCGCGUCUGCUGUGAAAACUCGGGGCUUAACCCCGGGCCUGCAGUGGGUACGGGCAGACUAGAGUGCGGUAGGGGAGACUGGAAUUCCUGGUGUAGCGGUGAAAUGCGUAGAUAUCAGGAGGAAUGCCGAUGGCGAAGGCAAGUCUCUGGGCUGACACUGACGCUCAUGCACGAAAGCGUGGGGAGCAAACAGG